rnacentral:rRNA from 1 species
GUAGUCCACGCUGUAAACGAUGGGCACUAGGUGUCGGCUGUCAUGGUCGGCGCCGUAGCUAACGCAUUAAGUGCCCCACCUGGGAAGUACGACCGCAAGGUUGAAACUCAAAGGAAUUGACGGGGGCCCGCACAAGCGGUGGAGUAUGUGGUUUAAUUCGAUGCAACGCGAAGAACCUUACCUGGGCUUGACAUGCUGGUUACCAACCUGAAAGGGAAGGGAUCCCGGCUUGCCGGGAAGCCAGCACAGGUGCUGCAUGGCUGUCGUCAGCUCGUGUCGUGAGAUGUUGGGUUAAGUCCCGCAACGAGCGCAACCCUUAUCUCUAGUUGCCAUCAGGUUAUGCUGGGCACUCUAGUGAGACUGCCGGUUAUAAGCCGGA